rnacentral:rRNA from 1 species
GCCAGCAGCCGCGGUAAUACGUAGGUGGCAAGCGUUGUCCGGAAUUAUUGGGCGUAAAGCGCGCGCAGGCGGAUCAGUCAGUCUGUCUUAAAAGUUCGGGGCUUAACCCCGUGAUGGGAUGGAAACUGCUGAUCUAGAGUAUCGGAGAGGAAAGUGGAAUUCCUAGUGUAGCGGUGAAAUGCGUAGAUAUUAGGAAGAACACCAGUGGCGAAGGCGACUUUCUGGACGAAAACUGACGCUGAGGCGCGAAAGCCAGGGGAGCGAACGGGAUUAGAUACCCCGGUAGUCCUGGCCGUAAACGAUGGGUACUAGGUGUAGGAGGUAUCGACCCCUUCUGUGCCGGAGUUAACGCAAUAAGUACCCCGCCUGGGGAGUACGACCGCAAGGUUGAAACUCAAAGGAAUUGACGGGGGCCCGCACAAGCGGUGGAGUAUGUGGUUUAAUUCGACGCAACGCGAAGAACCUUACCAGGUCUU